rnacentral:rRNA from 1 species
AUUCCAGCUCCAAUAGCGUAUAUUAAAGUUGUUGCAGUUAACAAGCUCGUAGUUGAAUUUUGGACUUGGCUGGUUGGUCUUUGCGAAAGCAAAGUACUAUUCCGGCUGAGUCUUUCCUUCUGGCGAACAAUUGUGCUAUUUAUUUAGUGCGAUUGGGAACCAGGACUUUUACUUUGAAAAAAUUAGAGUGUUUAAAGCAGGCUUACGCUUGAAUACAUUAGCAUGGAAUAAUAAAAUAGGACUUUGGUUUUAUUUUGUUGGUUUUCGAAACCAAAGUAAUGAUUAAUAGGGAUAGUUGGGGGCAUUAGUAUUGAGCCGUCAGAGGUGAAAUUCUUGGAUUGGCUCAAGACUAACUUCUGCGAAAGCAUUUGCCAAGGAUGUUUUCAUCA